rnacentral:rRNA from 1 species
AGAGAAUAGAUACCCUGGUAGUCCAUGCUGUAAACGAUGAGAACUAGAUGUUAGGGGCAUGACCUCUUAGUAUCGAAGCUAACGCGAUAAGUUCUCCGCCUGGGGAGUACGGCCGCAAGGUUAAAACUCAAAGAAAUUGACGGGGGCCCGCACAAGCGGUGGAGCAUGUGGUUUAAUUCGAUGCAACGCGAAGAACCUUACCUACCUUUGAAUCCACGGAACCUAGCAGAGAUGUUGGGGUGCCUUCGGGAACCGUGAGACAGGUGCUGCAUGGCUGUCGUCAGCUCGUGUCGUGAGAUGUUGG